rnacentral:rRNA from 1 species
UGGGGAAUUUUGGACAAUGGGCGAAAGCCUGAUCCAGCAAUGCCGCGUGUGUGAAGAAGGCCUUCGGGUUGUAAAGCACUUUUGUCCGGAAAGAAAUCCUUGGCUCUAAUACAGUCGGGGGAUGACGGUACCGGAAGAAUAAGCACCGGCUAACUACGUGCCAGCAGCCGCGGUAAUACGUAGGGUGCAAGCGUUAAUCGGAAUUACUGGGCGUAAAGCGUGCGCAGGCGGUUUGCUAAGACCGAUGUGAAAUCCCCGGGCUCAACCUGGGAACUGCAUUGGUGACUGGCAGGCUAGAGUAUGGCAGAGGGGGGUAGAAUUCCACGUGUANCAGUGAAAUGCGUAGAGAUGUGGAGGAAUACCGAUGGCGAAGGCAGCCCCCUGGGCCAAUACUGACGCUCAUGCACGAAAGCGUGGGGAGCAAACAGGAUUAGAUACCCUGGUAGUCCACGCCCUAAACGAUGUCAACUAGUUGUUGGGGAUUCAUUUCCUUAGUAACGUAGCUAACGCGUGAAGUUGACCGCCUGGGGAGUACGGUCG